AUACUUACCUGGCGUAGCGGACACUUCACGUGAUCACGAAGGUGGUUUCUCAGGGCAAGGCUCUUCCAUUGCUCUUAGGUCGAACUGACCGCUGCGAUUAUUCCAAACGCAAGUAACUUGGGCACAUAAUUUUUGGUUGUCGAGACUGCGUUCACGCUGUGGUGGA